rnacentral:rRNA from 1 species
ACUCCUACGGGAGGCAGCAGUGGGGAAUAUUGGACAAUGGGCGGAAGCCUGAUCCAGCCAUGCCGCGUGUGUGAAGAAGGCCUUAUGGUUGUAAAGCACUUUAAGCGAGGAGGAGGCUACUUUAGUUAAUACCUAGAGAUAGUGGACGUUACUCGCAGAAUAAGCACCGGCUAACUCUGUGCCAGCAGCCGCGGUAAUACAGAGGGUGCAAGCGUUAAUCGGAUUUACUGGGCGUAAAGCGCGCGUAGGCGGCUAAUUAAGUCAAAUGUGAAAUCCCCGAGCUUAACUUGGGAAUUGCAUUCGAUACUGGUUAGCUAGAGUGUGGGAGAGGAUGGUAGAAUUCCAGGUGUAGCGGUGAAAUGCGUAGAGAUCUGGAGGAAUACCGAUGGCGAAGGCAGCCAUCUGGCCUAACACUGACGCUGAGGUGCGAAAGCAUGGGGAGCAAACAGGAUUAGAUACCCUGGUAG